rnacentral:hammerhead_ribozyme from 1 species
AUCCAGUUGACGAGUCCAGAAAUAGGACGAAACGGGGGUCCUGAAU